rnacentral:rRNA from 1 species
GACGUAGGUGGCGAACGUUAUCCGGAAUUAUUGGGCGUAAAGGGUGCGUAGGUGGCCUGACAAGUUAUUAGUGGUAAAUCGAGGCUCAACCUCGUGGAAACUGGUAAUACUGUCCGGCUCGAGUACAGGAGAGGUUAACGGAACUCUAUGUGGAGCGGUAAAAUGCACAGAUAUAUAGAAGAACAUCAAUAACGGCGAAGGCAGUUAACUAUUCUGUUACUGACACUGGAGGCACGAAAGCGUGGGGAGCAAAACGG